AAAUAGUGGUAAGUGUGAAUGUGCUUUGUUUGGUGAUUACGUUGACGAGUUGAACAAGAAAAUGGGAAAAUCUUGCAAAAGUUAAAUUUUUUAAAGGUAAUGUAUUAUUUUUUGAAGAAGCUAAACUAACCCACCUAAAUUGACACCAGAGUGAAUCGAAUCUGAGACCUUAAGGAGAAGCACACUCUCAGGUCCCAAGCCAAUACCCACCUAAAUUUUUUAGAGGUAAUGUAUUAUUAUAUUUGAAAUAGUAACUUCUCAAAUUUUCCACGGAUUGAAUUAGUUGUGUCCAGACAAAGCAUCCAUCCAAAAUGUCAUUAACACUACAAGGAUAUUGAUUAAUCCAGAUAUACCUGGGGUUGAAGCAUUCAAGAACAGGUUUGUUUCAUUUCUAAUAAAUUAUUGAUGUUGAGUGAUCAUGUAGCUAUUUUUCCGUCUUUGAUAAAGAUGUUCAGGAUUUGGUUGUGGAGACUUGUCCUCUUUUGUUAUCAAUGGGAGAGAGAUCUUCCUUAUAUCCAGAUGAGAUGGAGGGCUUUUACGGUGAUGCAUAUCUUUAUAAAGUUGAAAAAGGGGAUCCUAUUGAUUUCGAGAAUUUACUUGCAUUUAAAGUUAUAUCUAUUUACCUGCAUUUGAUAAAUUCUCUUUUAGCCUCUACCCCUAUUAUCUACUUGUCAUUCAUGAAGAUGUCGGUGAAAGUAUGGAAGAAAUUAGUAUCAAUACAAAGAAAUUUUCUUGGGUAAAGUGGAUCGAUAUCUGUCUUUCAAAGGAAAGAGGUGGCUUAGGGGUUAGAAACCUAAGAUUGGUUAAUAUCUCUCUAUUAGCAAAAUGGCGGUGGCGGCCGAAUGAUCUCUGGGCUCGAACUCUAUUAGCAAAAUACGGAGAUAUUG